rnacentral:rRNA from 1 species
GACGUAGGGCGCGAGCGUUGUCCGGAUUUAUUGGGCGUAAAGAGCUCGUAGGCGGCUUGUCGCGUCGACCGUGAAAACUCGCAGCUCAACUGCGAGCCUGCGGUCGAUACGGGCAGGCUAGAGUUCGGUAGGGGAGACUGGAAUUCCUGGUGUAGCGGUGAAAUGCGCAGAUAUCAGGAGGAACACCGGUGGCGAAGGCGGGUCUCUGGGCCGAAAUUGACGCUGAGGAGCGAAAGCGUGGGGAGCGAACAGG